rnacentral:lncRNA from 1 species
AAUCCCUGGGCGCUUCAUUUCAUGUUGACCUGUACUCCCUGAGCUAACACACAGGCCAAACCAUAACUUGUGUAAUCAGUUAUUAGAUUAGUAAGCUAAGGAAAAAGUAUAGGAAAGAGGUAACAGGUUGAUCCACUCGAGGAGCUCUGCACAGGAGCCGAGCAGACACAGGAGCAGAGCCAAACAGGAACAUCAGAGAAGGGAUGUCAGCAUUCCAUCCCAUAUACUGUCACUGGUGUGAAAUGGCACUUGCUGACUGGAUGCUUGAAGCUGGAUGACAGGCAGCUCUGGAGAAGAAACCUUCAUGUCAUCUGUCGGGUACUCGACCGGAAAUAAACGUUAGCAUCAAACCUGCUGUUUGACCAUGAGUCUAUUCACCAUCAUGAUGACGCCUGUGUAUAACACUCUCUCUGGGACAUCUUUUUUCUCCCUUGCUUCCUGCCCUGUCUGGAGUGGCUCUUUCAGAGCCUCAUGACAUACAUUAAAUAUCCAUCACUUUAUCACUGACUGUUGGGCUCAUGCAGCCCUUCCUACCAUAGAAGGAAGAGCCAACAUGUGGCCUUGAACCCAGAUGACUAUGUACUGUCCAUGGAAUAUCUGCAGUUCUUAGGCUCCUGAGCAUUCAUGCUUUCUGGCCAUUUGUAGUUUAUCUGUUGGACUUCUAAGCCUUUUAGGAGAUAAUCUCCUUGCUGUGGAAUGCUGGGUUUGUGGAAGCAUUGCAUUUUGCGUCACUGAGUAUCAGCAAAACUGCCUCUGAGCUAUGCAGACAUAUUGGGACGAGCACAGAAAGGGCUGGCUGGUGCAGCAAGGGGCCAGCUGCUGUAAGAGAAGCACAUUACCAAUUGCUGAAGCUGUUAAGAAAUUGCAGUAUCUCUUGUGAUAAACAAGAACCAUUGAAUCCAGAGGAAUCCCGAUAAGCCACACUACUUCCUGGAAAAUGUCUUGGGGGGGGGGAAGCACUGUUAUUAAAAUUGUAUGUAAAUUUUAGAAAGCAUGAAUUAAAACUGAAACAAAUCUAAAAAGCAUUUUUUU